rnacentral:rRNA from 1 species
GGACGAACGCUGGCGGCGUGCUUAACCCAUGCAAGUCGAACGGAAAGGCCCUGCUUUUGUGGGGUGCUCGAGUGGCGAACGGGUGAGUAACACGUGAGUAACCUGCCCUUGACUUUGGGAUAACUUCAGGGAACUGGGGCUAAUACCGGAUAGGAGCUCCUGCUGCAUGGUGGGGGUUGGAAAGUUUCGGCGGUUGGGGAUGGACUCGCGGCUUAUCAGCUUGUUGGUGGGGUAGUGGCUUACCAAGGCUUUGACGGGUAGCCGGCCUGAGAGGGUGACCGGCCACAUUGGGACUGAGAUACGGCCCAGACUCCUACGGGAGGCAGCAGUGGGGAAUAUUGCACAAUGGGCGGAAGCCUGAUGCAGCAACGCCGCGUGCGGGAUGACGGCCUUCGGGUUGUAAACCGCUUUCGCCUGUGACGAAGCGUGAGUGACGGUAAUGGGUAAAGAAGCACCGGCUAACUACGUG